GCCAGGCCGGUCGCUAGAGUAGCCCCUUCCUCCUCGCCUCGUCAGCCCUGAGGCUACCCUCGUGGGGAAAGUGGGGGCUCAACGGUCUCGUCUUUUACGAAGCAGAUGGACUCCUGGACUCUAGGGCCUCGAACUGUUUGGGAGACUGAUGGGCAGGAGCCUUAUGCAGCCGGAGGGCCGGCGGUCAGUCAGUGGGCUUGGCCCGCGCUGGCGUCUGGCCCAGCUGUCGAAGCUCGGCUGGGCCCAGCUUGCUGCUGGCCCGGAGCUAACUGGGUCCCCUGAUGGCUGGGAUGAAGAGUGCAAUGCAUGUUUCAAAGAGGGCAUGCUUCCUUCACCUGGGUCCCAGGAUGGUGGAACAAAGCUGAAGAUGACUGUGAUUGACAAACAUGAAGAGAAAUAAACCUUACUGUAAGUAAUUUCAACUGGGGGGGUUAUUACCUUAGAAUGACUUAGGUUGAUCAAUGUAUUGCCCAAACUGAAUGAAGACAAACCAUGAGACUAGUAUUAAUUACGAGUAUUUGAGAACUGUAAAAGAUAGGCAGUUGACCUCUAGAGCAGUUGAAACUGAAUACCACUGAAAGGACAAUCAGAAUAUUCUCAUAUUCAGAAUAGGCAUUCUCUUUCAGAGACGAUGAAAACCAGAGUUCAAGUAAGAGAUGUUUGAUUGGUAUUUCAACAUGCCAUACAUUUUGGGACACUCUUAACUGUAGGAAAUCAUUGGUGGUUAAAUUAUGAGCUCCAUAUAAAUUAUGCUAUGUUGGUUUUAUGUUACUAAAUCUAAUAUUGGGUUAACAUUUGAAAUUUGUCAUAUUUUCUAAGCUCUGAAAAAGAAAAAUGAACCUGGAUUUUUGUCUCUAUGCUCAUCAAAUGGUAACAUCAUAUUGCUAAUUUGGGAAAUAAUUACUAAACUCUACUAAAAUCAUUGUUCAUGGAGCUAAAUCCAAAAUUCAGACAUUUGGGGAAAAAAAGAGUCCACAGCAAUGUAUUUUGAUGUUCUUGGGUAAAGAGGAAUCAGUAUUCAUCCUCAGUAUAGAUUGGAUUCCUUCAAACUAUCUUUACUUUUCAAGCAUCUAACAUUCACAGUUAGCAUGUGAGUCCCUCUAUCUAAUAAAAAGUCACAAGAGGCAGCUCUACACAAGAAAGAUUGAUUUGUGAUAUGCUGCUUCUCAUAAUGACACCACCAUGUGGUAUGUUCUGAGGUGGAGCUUUAUUCAUAUGCACCCCAGAUAGUAAAACAAACAGUGUAAUGUAUAAAAAGAAAAUCUCUUUAGAAACAACCUAAAUGUUUAUCAAUAGGAGAAUGGAUCAAAAUAACGUGAUAUUUCCACAUAAUGGGGUAAAAUAUAUUAUGUAAAAUUAAUGAUCCUAAAAGUAUCACAUAUUAAAGUGAAUGUUCAAAACCAAGUUACAGAUGUAUACAUAUACACACACACACACACACACACACAUAUAUAUAUAAUGAUACCAUGAUUAUAAAAUUGUAAAACAUGCAAAAUGAACAUUAUUUAUGAGUUUCAUAUAUGGUUUAAAACAUUUCAAAUGUGUAUAGGAAUGAUUAACAUCAAAUUUAGUGCAGUGGUUAUUAUCUUUGGUUAUAUGUAAUAGCGAAUGGGAUUGAAGAAAUGUACACAGAGCUUCAACUGUAUCUAUAAUGACUGAUUUUUUAAAAAAAUAACUUUAAAAUCUGAAGUGAAUAUGGUACCUGGUUACCUUGAUACACAGGUGUUUGCUAUAUUCUCUCUCUUUUUCUCUGUGUUUGAAAUAUUUCAUGGGGUCCUAUUGUACAGUACAGGGAACUGUGUCCAAUCUCUUGGGUUAGAAGAUGAUGGAAGAUAGUAUGAAAAAGAAAAAAAA
rnacentral:lncRNA from 1 species